rnacentral:rRNA from 1 species
GCUUGUCUCAAAGAUUAAGCCAUGCAUGUCUAAGUAUAAGCCUUUAUAUGGUGAGACUGCGAAUGGCUCAUUAAAUCAGAAACUGUUUAUUUGAUAGUGCCUACUACAUGGAUACCUGUAGUAAUUCUAGAGCUAAUACAUGCAAAAAGCCUGGACUUCUGGAACAGGCGUAUUUAUUAGAUUAAAAACCAAUGCCCUUCGGGGCUCUCUGGUGAUUCAUAAUAACUUCUCGAAUCGCACGGCCUUGCGCCGGCGAUGGUUCAUUCAAAUUUCUGCCCUAUCAACUUUCGACGGCUGGGUCUUGGCCAGCCGUGGUGACAACGGGUAACGGAGGGUUAGGGCUCGACCCCGGAGAAGGAGCCUGAGAAACGGCUACUACAUCCAAGGAAGGCAGCAGG